AGCAGCCGCGGUAGUUCCAGCUCCAAUAGCGUAUAUUAAAGUUGUUGCAGUUAAAAAGCUCGUAGUUGAAUUUCGGGGUUCUACCGUUGGUCUGGCUAACAAGUCUAUACUAGUGAGUAGAAUUCCUACCUUCUGGGGAGCUAUCAUGUUAUUUAUUUAGCGUGGUGGGAAACCAGGACCUUUACCUUGAAAAAAUUAGAGUGUUCAAAGCAGGCUUACGUCUGAAUACAUUAGCAUGGAAUAGUAAAAUAGGACGGUGGUCCUGUUUUGUUGGUUUCUGAAUCACCGUAAUGAUUAAUAGGGAUAGUUGGGGGCAUUAGUAUUCAAUUGUCAGAGGUGAAAUUCUUGGAUUUAUUGAAGACUAACUUCUGCGAAAGCAUUUGCCAAGGAUGUUUU
rnacentral:rRNA from 1 species